ensembl:lincRNA
CCAGGCAGGAAGUAACAUAGCAGGCCAACUCAGAAUAUAAGCAGGAAAUCGCUCUCUUCCUCUUCUAACUGCUCUCUUCUGUACGGAGCUGCCAUGUGAUCCCAGAAAGAGAAUACCAGCAGAAGGCAUCCACAAUAAGAUAAGUCUUAUAAAAUAUACAGAUUUAUGAUAAUUAAGUAUGAGAUAAAGUAUAAGAAAUCCUAGUCAAUUGGCCAGCAGAAUUUGAAACUAAUAUAAAUCUCUGUCUGUUAUUUGGGGCCCUAACACAGCAGAUGGCACUCGGGGGGCUGGAGGAAAGACUUAUCAUUACAGCUGAGCUUAAUGAGGCAAGGCCUCUCCAGAGAUGGUUAAGAGGUCCCUCAAGAACUGUCCUCAAGUUUUGGACCACCAGCUACUCAAAAAAAGCAGGUCCUCCUAAAAGCACCAAACUAGAAAUGAAAUGUCUCAGAUUCCACUCUGAAUGGCACCCAUGUCAAGUCUGGAAAUGCUUCUGAAAGAUGUGUCCCACAUCUACAAAUGGAGAAUUGUGUAGGAAGUAAUUACUCAGAUAACGAGAAUCACGUGACUAAAAUAUCAGAACUCUGGAAUCCUAAGGAGAUUCUGCCUGGAUAAAAACAUUUUUAGUUAGUCAAAACUAAACAAAACCCAAUAUAUAAUCUGUUAAAUCUGUUUUUUUUUUAAUUUUUAAUCAAUUUUUUAACCUACUAUAUUACAUCUACUAUAUUACACUAACAGCUCCUUAGCUGGAUCUUGAGUGCAAACUUUAAAGUCUUGGAGUUUGAGAACUUGGCCUCUGUUGUGGCAUCUCUGCAGCGCAAUAAUUAGUUUCUCCUUUGUUUCUAUUUUUCUUUUUUGUUUCCCUUUAUUGACAAUGGAUUUGUUUCUCAUAAAAUAUAUUCUAAUAUGGGUCCUCCUCCCAGGUCCUUCCCACCUCUCCCUACUUCCAUAUCCACUCUCUUUCUGUCUCUCAUUAGAAAAGAAUAGCCUCUUUUUUGUAAGAGAAAGCAGUCAAACACGACGAAGUGAAAUAUAAUAAGGUGAAGCAAAAACUAUCUUGUCAAACCUGGAUGACAGUCCAACAGAAGGAAAAGGGUCACAGAAAAAGGACUUGGGCAUACUACUAGUAUUUAAAGUUUCGACCUUUUCAUGGCAGUAAUAACUAUUUGUUGAAUAAAUAAUCAUUUCAUGCAAAUGUAUAAUACAUACUUUUAUUUGAAUGUCACUAAGUAAUUAUACUGAGUAUAGAAUUCAGAUAAUCAGUAUUUUAUUAUUUCUGUAACAAGAAAGCAAAUUAAUGCAGUACAAAGUUGUAGACUUACUGUUCCACCUAUUAUAUUUAGGUCAGGACUUUGUUUUUCAUUCUAUUGGGGAUAUUCCAAGACAGAAAUUAAUAUGUCAUUUGAGCAGGAUUAUUUUUUGAAGAAUGUUAUAAAAUAUACAUACUUCAAGCACAGUGAGAUGGUGGAUAGUACAUAAUUUCGAUUGCUAUUGGAAUAAGGGCUUCGUUCCUGCUGGCAGGUGUCCAAGUGCUACAAUCUGCUCACAGUCCUUCUCUGAUGGUCUCACCUAUUUUCAAUAUAUGAACAACGCUUCAUGCUCUUCCCAUGUUUCUUUGAUCUCCUAUUCUAGUCUCACCAAGGGUAAAUGUUCUGUUUUAUGACAUUAAUAAGUACAUUGUCUCCAAUCCUUGAUGAUAUAGGCCAUCUUAAAGUAGAGUUAUUAACAUCAAUUCUUUCAACAACUUCACUUUAACAAAUUAAUAUGACAUAUAAUCUGCCACCAGGAGCCAAAGUUCAGGAGGACAUAAUUAUGUUUACUAAAGAUAGCCAAUAUCAAAAUUAGAGCUGAAAAGGUGAAGAGAUAAUUUAGAUAAAUUCAGCCUUUAAGUAUAGGAAGAUGUUGCAUUAUAAUUUGAUCUCUGUAAUGUAUUGGAUAUGAAUUUGUGCUUAAUUCAGUUUUUCUAAAUAAAUGGUAAAAACUGUAAUUCAAUUAAAGACAGUUAUGUCUACGCUACCAGUCACAUAUUUAUUAUUAUGUAUUUAUGAUCAUCAAGAAUAUGUCUCAAUUAUUACAUGUUAAAGAGUAGCAAAGUGGUUGAAAAGAAAUAAAAUGUCAAAUGACUAAAGGGCUAGAAUAGAGUUGUGCACCUAUUUUCUUAAAAAGAAUCAAAUAACACGUUUGGGAAAAGGGUGAACCAAUAUAUUUAGCCCUUAAGGAACUAUUUUUCUCAACUUCACAAAACACACCCAUGAUAAAAGAAAGAAUUUAAAAUAAGUGGUUGUAUAGUUCCAAAUCUGUCAUAUAGAUCCCCCUUCCCAAACCAAGUAAUACACCCAUUUCCUAAUAUUACUGUAGUCUGAGUGUAUUGGUUCUAUGAUCAAUGAAAUUAUCAUAUUAGAUUAAUUUGUAGUAUAUUUUCUGAUGUUAUUUGUAUUCUGGAAAAAUA